rnacentral:lncRNA from 10 species
AAAUAUUUGAAGAGAUUUAUUCUGAGCCAAAUAUGAGUGACCAUGACCAGUGACACAGCCCUCAGGAGGUCCUGAGAACAUGUGUCCAAGGUGGUCAGGGCCCAGCUUGGUUUUAUACAUUUUAGAGAGGCAUGAGACAUCCAUCAAAUACACUGAAGAAAUAGUUGGUUUGGUCCGGAAAGGCGGGACAAUUCAAAGCCGGCGGUGGUGGGGCUUCCAGGUUAUAGGGGAAUUUAAACAUUUUCUGGUUGACAAUUGAUUGAGUUUGUCUAAAAACCUGGGAUUCAUAAGAAGGGAAUGUUCAGGUUAAGAUAAAAAUUGUGGUGACCAAAGUUGUUUUGAAGUCUUAUAGUGUCUGCCCUUAGAGACAAUAGAUGACAAAUGUUUCCUAUUCAGAUCCUAGUUAAUCUCUUUAGAUUGGGAGGGUCUGGAAGAAAAAGAUCUAGCUAUUUUAAUAGAGAUCUUUUACAGAUGUAAAUUUUCCCCCACAAAGAACAGCUUUGCAGGGUCAUUUCAAAAUAUGGCAAAGAAACACGUUUUGGGGUAAAAUAUUUUGAUUUUCUUCCUUGUCUCGUGAUGUUAUGCCAGAGUCAGAUUGGAAAGUAAGUCACGACAUACAGGGUUAAAUAAAACCCAUCUGAUGAGAAUUUAUGAUUUGUAGGGCAUGACUCCCCAGACCGCUUAGAUAGGAAUUUAGGCAAGAAAAAAAAAUGAGUUUAGUCCUCAAAGGUAAAGAGUCCCUUUUAGGGCCACAUCUCUGACUAUGCCACCACAAACCCCCAGCUACUUAACACCAGCUGGAUCAGAGAGUAAAAUGGCAGAACUACUCUUCCUUCUGAAUAAGGAGCUGCAACAACCCAAAAGCUGGGCCCUGGGCACCCCUAAAUGGAAAGAAAAAUAAAUUAAGAUUUAUUUAUUUAUUUGAUUAUUUUGAGACAGAGUCUUGCUCUGUUGCUCAGGCUGGAGUGUAGUGGCACUAUCCUGGCUCACUGCAACCUCUGCCUCCCGGGUUCAAGCGAUUCUCCUGCCUCAGCCUACCAAGUAGCUGGGAUUACAGGCAUCUGCCACCAUGCCCAGCUAAUUUUUGUAUUUUAGUAGAGGUGGAGUUUCACCAUGUUGGCCAGGCUGGUCUGGAACUCCUGACCUCAAGAGAUCCACCCACCUCCACCUCCCAAAGUGCUUGGAUUACAGGUGUGAGCCACCAUGCCUGGCAAAGAUUUAUUAACAUUCAUAGAGCCAGGCGUAGUGGUUCAUGCCUGUAAUCCCAGCACUCUGGGAGGCCAAGGUGGGAGGAUUGUUUGAGCCCAGGAGUUCAAGACCAGCCUGAGAAACAUAGGGAAACCCUCAUCUCUACAAAUAACUUAAAAAAUUUAGCUGGGUGUGGUGCUGUUUGCCUGUAGUCCCAAUUAUUAGGGAGGCUGAGGUGGGAGGAUCACCUGAGCCUGGGAGGUUGAGGCUGCAGUGAGUCAUGAUCAUGCCACUGCACUCAGGCUGGGCAACAGAGCAAGAACCUGUCUCAAAAAAAAAAAAUUAAAAGCAAAAAGGCUGGGUGUGGUGGCUCACACCUGUAAUCCCAGCACUUUGGGAGACCAAGGCAGGCAGAUCACCUGUGGUCAGGAGUUCGAGACCAGCCUGGCCAACAUGGUGAAACCCCAUCUCUACUACAAAUACAAAAAUUAGCUGGGUGUGGUGGUGCAUGCCUGUAAUCCUAGCUAGUUGGGAGGCUGAGGCACAGGAAUUGCUUGAACCUGGGAGGUAGAGGUUGCACUGAGCCGAGAUCAUGCCACUGCACUCCAGCCUGGGUGACAGAGUGAGACUCCAUCUCAAAAAUAAAUAAAUAAAAAUUAAAAAGAGAAAUGAACAAAAAUUCAAGUGAAGAAUUUCCAGAUGUAGGGGCCCUGUCAGCUGAUUGCUUUCACCUGGGCUUUUACUCCAAAGAAGUAUUACAUCAUGAUAAUACAUUUAUAUUUUUUACAUAUAUAUGUAUAUAUAAAAUAUAUAAAUAAUAUAUACAUAUAUACAUACACCAUACACAUAAAUAUUUGUGGUAAAAUAUAACAAAAUGUAUUAUCAUAACCAUUUUUCAGUGUACAAUUCAGUGGCAUUAAGUACAUUUACAGCAUUGUGCAACUAUCACUACAAUCUCUCUCCAGAACUUUUUCAUCAACCAGACAGAAAAUCUGUGUCCAUCAAGCAAUAACUCUGUAUUCCCCAUCCUGCCAGGCCCUGCCAACUUCUGUUCUACUUUCUGUCUCUAUGAAUUUGUCUCUUCUAGGCUCCUCAUGCAAGUGGGUUCACACAGAUGUGUCCUUUUGCAGACAGUGGCUGUUAAGUCAGGCAAGGAGGAAGAGAAACAGCCAAGCCAAAUGCAGCUUUCCUCGGUUCUUUCCUUCCCUGGUGCUUGUCUGGGCUUCUCUCCCAUGCAAAAUCAUCAGUCUUUCUUCCUGGGACUUCUAUGUGGUGAAGAUGCCAUUAGGCACCCUCUGGUAGCUUAUAAUGCAGUUCAUUUCAUCUCAUUUCCUUCCUGUUUUGUACAGAGACUGGUUUCCCCUUUGCUGACUGUCAGCUGAGUUCAAAACUGGGGUCAAAGCUCUGCUCACAGCACAAAUCACUUCUUGUGAAGCCUGGCUGGGUUUUGGCAGGCAGCUG